CUAUCUUAGUGGCGACGGGUGAGUAACGCGUGGGUAACCUGCCUUACACUGGGGGAUAACACUUAGAGAUAGGUGCUAAUACCGCAUAACAGUAGGAGACGCAUGUCUUUUACUUGAAAACUCCGGUGGUGUAAGAUGGACCCGCGUCUGAUUAGCUUGUUGGCGGGGUAACGGCUCACCAAGGCAACGAUCAGUAGCCGGCCUGAGAGGGUGAACGGCCACAUUGGGACUGAGACACGGCCCAAACUCCUACGGGAGGCAGCAG
rnacentral:rRNA from 1 species